CUAAAACACAAAAUGUGACAGAUGUGCGUUUCGAUUCAUUUUACAAGCAUCAUAUUUAAUUGUUAAUAUGUCGGAUUCAACUAGACGAUUUCUUGAUUCUUCACGUAAUAUUCAAAUAGCUGCAUAUUCAGGUCUUAUUUUGCGAAUAUUUUUGUUAGUUGUAUUAAAUUAUCACAGAAAAAAAGAUGUUAAUCUUCAUACAUAUGCAGACAUCUUUAAUGUUUAUGGUGGCAUAACAAUAUGUGCUAUAUUUGUUUUAUUGAUUGGUAUUUAUAGAAGGAAUCAUUAUUUUGUAAUUCCUUAUCUCGCCGUAAUUAUCAUCGAAAUACCAAUAACAUCAAUCGCACUCAUCUUUGAUUUAGUUUUUUUGCUGCACAGCUCAACAUACAAAAUGUUUUUGGAGUUAUUGGUUGGAUUUGCAAUGAUAUUUUGGAAUUUUUUCACAACAUGGUUGUUGAUGAAUAACUACCGCCAGAUGGAGCUCCAACACAAAUUAGAAAAACAACUAGCAAACUUAAGCGAAUCAGAGAUACCGAAUGAUUUUAUUAGAGUAUAAAUGCUCUAUGCUGUCUUUCGCAUGUGAAAACAUAGACAUGUCAUCAAAAGAAUUCGUUUUAUUGAGUACAAGUCAGUAGAGUGCUUUUCUCCUUCCGGCUAAGUGCACAUUUGCCUAUGAAUAAGUAAUAAAUAAAUAGAGUUCAAUUCAGCGUAGAUUUCCAAGCAAGCAACGCACGACCACACACACAGCCACGGCGAGUGAAUAAUUCAAACGUUACUUUACUUGUUAGUGAAUUAUACUUAUAUAUAAGUAAAUGUGUUUAAAAUCCAAGUAAUAAUAAAUAGCUAAAUUGUGUGUGUGUGCUUCUAAUCUAAUCUGAUUAGGAUUUGCCUGCACAUGCAUUAACUAAAUA